UGCAGUCGAGCGAACUGAUUAGAAGCUUGCUUCUAUGACGUUAGCGGCGGACGGGUGAGUAACACGUGGGCAACCUGCCUGUAAGACUGGGAUAACUUCGGGAAACCGAAGCUAAUACCGGAUAGGAUCUUCUCCUUCAUGGGAGAUGAUUGAAAGAUGGUUUCGGCUAUCACUUACAGAUGGGCCCGCGGUGCAUUAGCUAGUUGGUGAGGUAACGGCUCACCAAGGCAACGAUGCAUAGCCGACCUGAGAGGGUGAUCGGCCACACUGGGACUGAGACACGGCCCAGACUCCUACGGGAGGCAGCAGUAGGGAAUCUUCCGCAAUGGACGAAAGUCUGACGGAGCAACGCCGCGUGAGUGAUGAAGGCUUUCGGGUCGUAAAACUCUGUUGUUAGGGAAGAACAAGUACAAGAGUAACUGCUUGUACCUUGACGGUACCUAACCAGAAAGCCACGGCUAACUACGUGCCAGCAGCCGCGGUAAUACGUAGGUGGCAAGCGUUAUCCGGAAUUAUUGGGCGUAAAGCGCGCGCAGGCGGUUUCUUAAGUCUGAUGUGAAAGCCCACGGCUCAACCGUGGAGGGUCAUUGGAAACUGGGGAACUUGAGUGCAGAAGAGAAAAGCGGAAUUCCACGUGUAGCGGUGAAAUGCGUAGAGAUGUGGAGGAACACCAGUGGCGAAGGCGGCUUUUUGGUCUGUAACUGACGCUGAGGCGCGAAAGCGUGGGGAG
rnacentral:rRNA from 2 species